AUUGAACGCUGGCGGCAGGCCUAACACAUGCAAGUCGAGCGGAGCGGCGGACGGGUGGGUAAUGCCUAGGAAUCUGCCUGGUAGUGGGGGAUAACGUCCGGAAACGGGCGCUAAUACCGCAUACUAUCAGAUGAGCCUAGUUUGGAUUAGAUAGUUGGUGGGGUAAAGGCCGACCAAGGCGACGAUCCGUAACUGGUCUGAGAGGAUGAUCAGUCACACUGGAACUGAGACACGGUCCAGACUCCUACGGGAGGCAGCAGUGGGUAAUAUUGGACAAUGGACGAAAGCCUGUUCCAGCAAUGCCGCGUGUGUGAAGAAGGUCUUCGGAUUGUAAAGCACUUUAAGUUGGGAGGCGUUACCAACAGAAUAAGCAACGGCUAACUUCGUGCCAGCAGCCGCGGUAAUUC
rnacentral:rRNA from 1 species